UAUCAGGAGUUAAUAGACUCUAGGGCAGGAGGUGAAUCACGUACACAGCAGGAACAACAGCAUGUUGUGCCAUGUUUGUUCACCCAGGGGCUCCAGGGAGAAAGGGGGACGUGAAGGAAGGAGGCAAAUGAAAUAGGAAGUUUGUUCAUCUAACAUGUCAUUCUGUAGCACACAGUAAGCUUUACCUUUACUUGCUACCAGAUGUUACCUGUCCUGCACAGCAAAUCCCGUCCAGCUAAGGGCCACACACUUGUAUUCUAAAGUCACACAUCACUAUUCCCAAAUUUCUUAACGUGUGAACUUAUGAGCUAACACCCUGUUUUGUUUUGUUUUGUUUUCCAAGUGUGACCAGGAAAAACUUAUAAAGCAAUCCUGGAUGUUGCAGAAAAUACACCUUCUCCAAUGGAGGUCUUGAAUUUUGUGCUUGAACACAGGGAAAGGACCUACCUAGAGUGUUGAGUCUAGCUGGACAAGCUGAGCAGGAGCAGCAGUAUAUCCUUGUGACAAAGAAGGCCAACCACAUACCUGGAUUUACCACCAAAAAUAUCAAUAGCAGGUUGAGAGAAAUGGUUAUUCUGUGCUACUCAGCAUACUAUAGGAGGGUACACAUGUCCUGUUUCAGGUUCUUUAGUACAAGACAGACAUUCAUUUACUCUUGUCUCAGAAGACACCAAAAUGAUUAGGGGACUGAAGCAUGCAAUAAAUGAGGAGAGAGUUAAAAACUUUGGUUUGUCUAAUCUUAAAAAGAGAAGAUCGAGGGCAGAUCUUGUUGCAGCCUUCAACAACCCAAAAGGAGAAGAUGGAGACAGACCGCUUUUGAAGAUGUGCGGAAAAAAGACAAGAAGCAAAAGGAAAAAUAAGUCACAAUGAGGAUAAUAAAAAAUUGGAAGAUGUUACUUGAACAGGUUGCAAAAUCUCCAUCAGUGGAUAUGCUUGAAACUUGACUGGACAACACCAUGAACAAAAUGCUCUAAAUUGGCCAUGAUUUCAGGAGGGCUUUUAGUUACCACAUGGAAUGUGUUGUGUGCCAUCUUAAUAGGCUGUUUUAAACCACUCAUCAACGAUUUCACAUGGACAAAACUAUUACCAUCACCUUUCUGAACUUCUCCCUACUUUCUCUCAACUUACCGCUUACAUAACAACUGAAAUAUACACAAAAUCUUUUUCCAGUUUUUGGCUAGUAUAACUCAGCACUACUUGCUUCAGAAUGAAGAUUCUUACUUGCUUUUUAACCCCACGUCCAUGACAUCUUUAGAUCAGAUAUAAAAAAGAAAUUUUUUACAAUGUGGGUGAUGAAACACUGGAACAGGUUGCCCAGAGAGGUCCCUCAUUCCCAGAAACAUUCCAGGUCAGGUUGGACGGGGUUCUGAACAACCUGAUCUAGUUGAAGAUGUCCCUGCUCAUUGCAGGCGGGGAAUUGCACUUUAAAGAUCCCUUCCAACCCAAACUAUUCUAUGAUUCUAUGAUCAUAUGAUGAUAACAUGGAGAGUGGAGGGAGGCGGAAAAUCAAUGAAGAAAUAAAGCAAAUUUUAUUUUGUCUAAAUGAACAGAAAUAAAACCCAAGGAUGCAAAAAACUUGUUUAUGAAAUGUAUUCCUUGAUAACACAAACUGCAGGUUUACCCUCAUCUAAACAGAACACAGAUUAAUUAAUUCUGCUGCAUAUUAGAUUUCAACAAAAAUAUUAGAUUGUGUUCAUGAUUGAACACACAUUUUGAAGACUGCAAUAACCAGAAAAACAA